rnacentral:lncRNA from 1 species
UGAAUUUCCAAGUUCUUGAUUGCAGCACUCUGAUUUUGAAGGGUUGUCUCAAUUCUUCUCAUGAAUUGAUUGUUUGUCUCAAUUUAUUGCUUUGUCUUUUCCAUAAAUUUGCCAAACAUCUCUUCUAGCGGAGUUCUCUUCUUAGGCUACUGAUACUGAUAACCAUGCGAUGCCGUGGGAUUUUGAUUACUCCAAGAAAAAUUUGGGUGCUUUUCCCGACCAAGGUUGUAUGUAUCCGAAUGUGGGUUAUUUUGCCUCCUUGUACAUAUUCAACAUGUUCAAUAUUUUGUGCAAGAAUUGGACAAUUGGCUGUAAUAUGAUCUGUCCCACAUUCUUCACAACUUAGGUGCUUGACCUAUAUUGCAUUGGCCAACUGUGUGCUAUCAAACUUAUGAACUAGAGAAUCAAUUUUUGCAAAUAAGGGUGUGUAAGUGUCCAUCGCAUAUACUCCUGCUGCCUUCUUAUGAAUAACUCGCUCAGAAGCCCACAUGGCUGUAGUAGUAGCCACUUUCUCAAAUAACUCCAAGGCUUCAUCAAUUGUCUUUAUGAAUAAAGAGCCAUUGGAUGAUGAGUCUACCAUGCUUUUAUAAGAUGAAAGUAGACAUGCAUAAAAUUAUUGGACCCGAAGCCCAUUACAGAUGCCAUGAUAAGGGCACUUACUAAGCAUGUUCUUGAAUCUAUUCCAAGCUUCGUCAAAGGAUUCUGUUUCUCCCUAUCGAAAUAUGGAUAUGUCAUGUUUCAACUUCGCAAUCUUCUUCGAUGGAAAGAAUUUGGUACGGAAUUUUUAAGUCAAGUCAUUCCAAAUAGUGAUACCGGCAAUAGACUGUGAAUCUAACCAUUCAAGCGUUCUAUCGCGUA